rnacentral:rRNA from 1 species
AGGGAAACCGAGUCUUAACUGGGCGUUAAGUUGCAGGGUAUAGACCCGAAACCCGGUGAUCUAGCCAUGGGCAGGUUGAAGGUUGGGUAACACUAACUGGAGGACCGAACCGACUAAUGUUGAAAAAUUAGCGGAUGACUUGUGGCUGGGGGUGAAAGGCCAAUCAAACCGGGAGAUAGCUGGUUCUCCCCGAAAGCUAUUUAGGUAGCGCCUCGUGAACUCAUCUUCGGGGGUAGAGCACUGUUUCGGCUAGGGGGUCAUCCCGACUUACCAACCCGAUGCAAACUGCGAAUACCGAAGAAUGUUAUCACGGGAGACACACGGCGGGUGCUAACGUCCGUCGUGAAGAGGGAAACAACCCAGACCGCCAGCUAAGGUCCCAAAGUCACAGUUAAGUGGGAAACGAUGUGGGAAGGCUCAGACAGCCAGGAUGUUGGCUUAGAAGCAGCCAUCAUUUAAAGAAAGCGUAAUAGCUCACUGGUCGAGUCGGCCUGCGCGGAAGAUGUAACGGGGCUAAACUGUGCACCGAAGCUGCGGCAGCGACGCUUAUGCGUUGUUGGGUAGGGGAGCGUUCUGUAAGCCUGCGAAGGUGUCCUGUGAGGGAUGCUGGAGGUAUCAGAAGUGCGAAUGCUGACAUAAGUAACGAUAAUGCGGGUGAAAAGCCCGCUCGCCGGAAGACCAAGGGUUCCUGUCCAACGUUAAUCGGGGCAGGGUGAGUCGACCCCUAAGGCGAGGCCGAAAGGCGUAGUCGAUGGGAAACGGGUUAAUAUUCCCGUACUUGGUGUUACUGCGAAGGGGGGACGGAGAAGGCUAUGUUGGCCGGGCGACGGUUGUCCCGGUUUAAGCGUGUAGGCUGGUUUUCCAGGCAAAUCCGGAAAAUCAAGGCUGAGGCGUGAUGACGAGGCACUACG